UACGUAGGGCGCAAGCGUUUGUCCGGAAUUAUUGGGCGUAAAGAGCUCGUAGGCGGCUUGUCACGUCGGGUGUGAAAGCCCGGGGCUUAACCCCCGGGUCUGCAUUCGAUACGGGCUAGCUAGAGUGUGGUAGGGGAGAUCGGAAUUCCUGGUGUAGCGGUGAAAUGCGCAGAUAUCAGGAGGAACACCGGUGGCGAAGGCGGAUCUCUGGGCCAUUACUGACGCUGAGGAGCGAAAGCGUGGGGAGCGAACAGG
rnacentral:rRNA from 1 species